rnacentral:rRNA from 1 species
AUACUAACUGAACUUGAUAGCACGGAGCAGUCUGUGCUAUUCAAUGAAUCUAACUCAGCAACUCCAUAAACCAAUCAAUGGUUGAUAAAACUUAAAUUUUCAACGAUGGAUGUCUUGGCUCCCAUAUCGAUGAAGAACGCAGCAAGAAUGCGAUAUGCAAUGUGAAUUGCAGAACCAUGAAUCAUCGGAUCUUUGAACGCAACUGGCGCUGAUCCUAAAUCAGCAUACUUGUUUCAGUGUGCGCAAACAACUAAACCAACUCAAUGUGAGAGAAACUCUCUCAUGAAGUAAAUGCUCCCUGCAGCAGUCACAUUCAUUUGUGAGCUACUGGGUGGAACUCGUCUCAUUGUCACCUGAAAUCAAGUAAGAUGACCCGCUGGACUUAAGCAUAUUACUAAGCGGAGGAAAAGAAAUUAACAAAGAUUGCCUUAGUAAGGGCGACUGAACCGGCAAGAGCUCGAAAUUGGAAUCGGAGGUUCAAAGAAUCUUCGAAUUGUAAUCAGGUCCGCCGAAAUACGAGAGCUCUCUCAAUCACGUCGAAACGUGUGCCAGAGAGGGUGAAAGCCCCGUACAGAGUUCUCUCGAAACAGGGGGAUUCCACAAGAGUCGGGUUGCUUGGAACUGCAGCCCUAAGUGGGAGAUAUGAAUCUUCCAAAGCUAAAUAUGGGAUGGGAGACCGAUAGCGAACAAGUACUGUGAAGGAAAGAUGAAAAGGACUUUGAAAAGAGAGUGAAAAGAUCUGAAAUCGUUGAGAAGGAAGCGGUAAAAACUGAUGGUCGUACUGACAGAUAUCGCGGCCAAAGCUGCGUA